rnacentral:lncRNA from 1 species
UGGUUUAUUGCAGGUAUCUAUUGCCUGUGGCACAUCUUCUGAUACGGUUUCAUCACAGAAGAUUCAAUUUUGGUAUCUUUAUGCAAAUGAAAAUUCUGGUGAAUCCUCUCGCUGUGUUUACAAGGAAUGUUGUUUUGAUUUAUCUUAUCAUGUCUUUACAAUUUACAUGGAUAGAUUAUGGUAUGAUCAUCCUCACAAUUUGAUUAAUCAUGUUGCUUAAAUGUUCUGGAGCAUUGUGGAGAAUAGUAGUAUCAGUUAGUUUUGAAUUAGCCUUAACUUUACAUGUUUAUUUGUACUUGAUAUCUUCAAGGUUCAAGAUUUUUCAUAACUCAGUAUGGUAAGGAUGAUGACCUAAUUUAAAAGCCUUUUGAUCUUGACACAGCCAGGCCACCGCCCCAAUAAACCAUAAUCACUAUUCUAGCUGCGUAGGUCAACUCUUUGAAUUUCCAGUUAUUUAUG